UAAAAAGCAUCAACCAGGACUAUGGGAUCUAUCAGGAUACUAUGGAGAGAACUGCGUCAAUGUUUGCCAGCUAAACCCUUGUGAGAACAGAGGCGUUUGUCGGCACCAGGCCAGUGCCCCUAUGUGAGUGCAGCAAGAAUCACAUUGGCCGGUACUGCGAGCACAGGUGGGAUAAACUGAGGUACUGGUAUGGGAAAUUGAGUUUUGUGGGCACAGUAAUGCUGGGAUUCUGGGAAACACUGCAUUGUGGAAAAAACAUGGCAGAUUGCCUCAUCUUUUUGCACUUAGUACAUAUAUAGCAAGGUGCCUUGGGUGCAAAGUACUUCAUGUACAUAUGCACUAGUACCCAAAGGCACGUGCACAUGUACUUCUGCCCAGGAGAGAAAUGGCAGGGCUCGAAUCUUUGACUGAAUAGGCAAAUGCUUGUUGGCUAUGAAAAGUGACAUAGCAACCCUGUAUGAUGAAUGUAACUUAUAGAAGCAUUGUUAUUGCAGGUUAUUAGUUCUGCACACUUUUUUUUAGAUCUUUAAUAAAUGCCCCCAUUGCCCAGAGCCCAUAUGUGCAGUGAAAUCUCUCCAGGUUUGUAGUGUAAAUUGGAUCCAAGUGUUCUGCUAUGUACAGUGACUAUGUGUAGGUGACUUAAUAAACUAUGCUUGAAGAUAUGUAGCUUUGUUAUACAAGUUGAUAUAUAUAUCUUUCAUAGGCUGGACCAGCAAUGUCCCUCCUAGUGUCUCUUAUUGAAGCUACUGCUUUUGCCCAAGGCAUAACAUCUCUAAUUCUGGCCUUUUGUGUUGACUCCUUUUAUUUGACACCUGCAGGAGUUUCAUUACCACCCCAAAGGCAGUGAGACGUGUUUGCCUUGUGAUUGUUAUCCUAUUGGCUCCUCAUCAAGGGCAUGUGAUCAGGAAACUGGCCAAUGCUAUUGCAGACCUGGCCUGAUUGGACUGAUUUAUGAUGGUUGCCCCAAAACAUCAACAGCAGGAGUCUGGUGGCCCAGGACCAAGUUUGGCGUUCCUGCUGCAGUGCCGUGCCCACUCCCUUGCUGGCUCAAAGAGAAGGUUAAGCAUGUGUGGGUGCUCAUGUGUAUGAGCUAAGGCAGGGACUGCCAUCUGACACUGCAAUGAUUUCAAGGGUUGGCUGGAGCCAGAUCUGUUCAACUGCACUUAUUUGGCCUUUGUGGAGCUCUCUUCUAUGCUGGACGGCCUGGAGAGAAAUGAGACUGAACACAAUAGAAGCCAAGAAGCUCGCCUUGCGUCUGCGUUCAGUGACAGACCAGAUGUAUCAGUACAUCCACGAAGGGUUCAGGUUAACCGCCACACAGGAUGCACAAUUUACUGAGUGCUUAAUAUUGAGAGAGUGGAAAAUCAAAACUCUGCCAGGAGACAGUUCCCCAGAUACCACAGUCACCUUGUUCGGGGCCAAACUUUCUGGGAUCACCUUACUCAUGUGGUGCUGUCAGAGUCAGUCCUUGUGCCACCCAAGCCAAAAGGACCUAAAAUGCUGAAUAGUCGAAGUCCUGAAAGGCUUCUUCGAUGUUAUCUGCCAUUUCAGCACAAGGUCCUUUGGGCAGCGUUAGAUUGGCUGGCAGCUUGGUGUACUUCUCAUCAAAGUAGCUGACAUCCUCCGGUCCGUUGAGGCUGGGUACGAACGGGGCUGUUGCCUUCCCAUCAAUGAUUUCAUCCCAGGCUGUGUUCUGCAAACAGGCUGCUGUUGUUCCACAUUGGCCUCUUCAUCAUCCUCCUCAUCUUCUGCAGUGACAGUUCCCCUUUGUAUCUGGCGGCAAGGCCUCACCCUCAGGCAGGAAACAAUGGCUUUAUAUUUCCAUCAGCCUUACCUCAGUGUUUUGCUGCUGGUGCAAGAUGUUACACAGCUUGGCACCCAUCUUGAAUCUCCUGUAUCAGGAAAGAAAGAUUAGAUCUGGUUAAACUGUCUAUGGAAGAUAAAGGCAAAGGAUCACAGGUGCAUGAUGGGAAAGAGACAGCUUCCCACAUUUGAAUCCUGAGUGAGAAGGAGCCAUGUGAGUGAGGGUUUGAUGCUCGGGCCGUGCAGCACUGUAUCUGCAGCAGAGGAGGAGUUCAGUGCAACACAGAGGAACACCCCUUGCGCCUUGGUACCUCACUCAUCAGAACCAGUGAAGUUAUUUACUUAAACAUUUUACUCACAUAGUGUGACCUUCCUUAAUGUCCCUUUCCAUGGGAUGUUGGGAAUUGUAACUCAACAGAUGAGCCCAUUUUAAUUUUUUUCUAAUUUCAAUUUACCUUUCCAUAUUGUAAUUCUUCCCCCCUACAUGGCCAAUUGGUGUUAGUUGGUAAACCCCUGGAACUGUAGCAGUGUUGCACUGUGCGCCCAAAUCUUACUCCGGGGUCUCUAAGCCCCUAGCUUACAAAUCUACAGGUAGGAAUUAUGAAUAAUAGCUGGCGCUAAAGAAAUAAUGAACAGCUUGGUACAUCCAAGAGGGAAAGAUAACCUUACUCAAAUUAUAGAGGGGAAAAUGCAGGACCAGUACCUUUGUCCAGAGGACCCCAAAUGGGAAGAUGAAAAUAUCCUCUGGGCAGGGAAUCACUCGAGUCUUCUCUUUCCUUUGCUGUUCUUCUCCCUUUGGUAUCGCCGAUAUCGUUGUUAUUCACCAAAGUCGCUUGCAAUACUUACCGCUAUGGGAAGAAAAUAAAGGAUUGUGAGCAUGAGAAUAUUAGGGGCAGUGGACCCUGCCGCCUCUGGAACCCCAGGAGAGUAGGGAGCCCAUUGGAACCAGACUGAUAAGCAAUAUCAAUACAAAGUUGCAAAACUGCUCCUGUUUUAAAUUUGGGGGCCUUAAAAUGAAGAAUAGUACAGAUCCCAUAAUGCACUGUGAGGUUUUCAAUCUUUUUCAGACUAUAAUUAGAAGAAAAUGAGCCUGACAGCUCGUGUGUGUGUGUGCUAUUUAGCUAACAAACAUGAUGGUCAUCCAGGAUGCAGACUUUCCUCACUGGCUCUUGUAAAGGGCCUUUAUCUCCCAUGAUGCACUCCGAUGUCAGGCAUAAGAGGUAGUUAGCAUUGGUUUGCCUCUAAUGUCAGAGCUGGCUUAUGACAAGACUGCAGAUCCCAUUGUGCACUGAGCAGGGAUCAUCUCAAUAUCCUCAAAGAACCUGCUUCUCCCUGCACAUACCCAACAUGUCUGCUCCCCAUAACCUGCUCUACUCUGAUUAGUGCCCCUGCACCCAUAACACAAGAGAUCCUAACACUUUAGCAUUUAUUCUACUAACUGUACUAACUCUUCCUUAUCCAUCAUCCACUCUAGUGCUAAGGCUACUGACCGUUGCUAGGAUGAGUGGGACCCUAGCGUCCAAAUGACAGUUGGCAGUUACAGCUAAAGAGAGGUUGAUUAAAUGGCCUAAGAGUUUAAAAGCAGCAGUAAGCAAACACAAAAUACGCAAUGUUUUAGAACUUCAACUGAGCCACAGGGGACGCUGGGAAAAGUAGUACAGCUAUAGCUAGAGAAGCAGAGGUUUAGGGUCAAUGAGACAGUGAUUAUGAUUUUCUACUGCAUUUUUGUUCUGCAGCUCUGCACAUUAAAUUGAAAUGGGCUUUUUUUGAGGUGUCACUCCUGCUACCAAUGGUAUACCCCAUAAUUAAUAUAUAAACACACUGAUAAUUUCCAACAGUUUCAUGAUUAACAUCUCCCCAAACAAGAGCAAGCAAUGGGUUCGAUUUUGGGGGCUUUGGUGCCAGGGAGCAGUUUUGGGAUCUUUGACUCCACUGCCCAAACUACUAUAAAAGCUACUAUAAAAAAGUUGCCUAAAAUGUACCCCCUUCCUUUUUGUCAGGCAAAUAUUAUUGGUUAAGAUGACAGACAUUUCCAACGGACAACAUUAAGACAAGCAUCUCCCCAGGCAAUACCAAUAGGAGGCAAAGGGGUGGCAAUUUGGGGGAGUGUGACCCCACUAAUAAAGCUACUAUAAAUCAUGGGUGCCAAAACCCCCAAAUUGCCCCUUCUAUCAUUGUCUUAAAUAUGUCCCCCCUCCCCAGUUUCUUAAUCUGCUCCACUUACCUCUGAAUCCAGAAAUGGUAUAACUGCCGUUUGUGAGAGCCGUUGGUGAUGUCACUGAAGCACAAUAACUGCCAAACUGACACAUACUCAGAUACAUACAGGACUGUGUUUGGCUGUAUAGUGAGACUUGGGAACAAUUGAGCUUGCACUGACUGGGCUCCCCUAUCCCUACUGAUGAUGGCCCUGGCACCCUGGCACCUCACUCAUCUGGGUGAUUUUAAAAGCUCAUUAAAAUAUUUGAUUAAAUAUUUCGCUUACAUAGUAGGAUCUUCCUUUGUGUACUUUUGGUUUGUUACCGUAUGUGAGUGACAUAAAUGUUGCUGUGGCAAUUCCACAUUGGUGGGUGUGUGUGGGGGGGGGGUCGCUGGGAAUUGUAAUUUAUCAAGAGAUGAGACAAUUAAACACUUCCCAAUCCCCAUUUCCGUAAUAUAAUUCUACCCCCGCCUAAUGGCCAGUUAGUUUACCAAAUAAUUAUAAGAAUUAAUGCUUAGAAUCUCAAGCACAUAUCUAAUACAUGCGGGCAGGCAAGGGCUGUAAUUGCCAAGAAUGUAUAUAAUAUGUUCUUUGCAUUAGGGUGCAUGUUAUAGAAUGGUCAAUUCUAAGCAUCCUUUUCAAUUGAUCUUCAUAAUUUAUGU